UAACGAAAACUAUUAGAUGUAAUCGUAAUAACGUAAAGUAUAAUAGAUAUAUAUGUAAUUUUCUCUAAAUUAUAUUCAAGGCUUGAAGUCUUCUUUUUUUCAUACUACUCAUUGUUGAGGCCAAAAUGAUCAAUUUGAUGGUUCUUUAUUUAUAGAGCUACAAUUUCAUUUGGGGUGUUACAUUUUUCAUUAUUACUAAGAUUUUCCCCAAAAAAUAUAGGAUGAAAUGGUCAAACACCU
rnacentral:lncRNA from 1 species